CACAAAACAACCUUUUUUCCAAACACUCCCACAGUCCCACGUAGCAAAGUUGCAACACAAAUCAGAAAAAGGAAGCCAUCGAUCGGCGAUCACUGCAAAAUAUUACUCCUUUCAGUUGGGAACAGAGGCCCGUAAUAUUCAAGUUGUGCACUCAGAUCUCACCGUCCCUAAACUAGGCCUUCAACAUCGGCAUCCCCAAGAACUAGGGCAAGCAGGAGUCAACCCCAGCAGCGGAAGAGUAUCUGAUGGUUAAACAGAGGAAAAGAUCAGUUGAAGAACCAUUGAAAGUGGAGUUUUGUCUGCGCCAACUACUGGUCCUUUGCUACCUACUGAACACUGAUAUAUUUUUUACCCUAAUUUGUGAUGUUCCUUUUUUUCUAUUUCAUAAAAUCUGUUAGUUAAUUUUUUUUUUUUUUUUUUGUAUUAUUCUUGUCUCUCUCAAUUUGAUUUUUAUUACAUUUUCUGGUGUAAAUAUUUUCAUAAAUUUAUCUGUAAAAACUCUCUCUCAAAUUUUUUUUUCAAGUUUCCUACCUAAUUUGUUUGUU